UACGUAAGGUGCAAGCGUUAUCCGGAAUCAUUGGGCGUAAAGCGUUCGUAGGCGGUGAAGCAAGUUUGUAGUUAAAUCUGGUCGCUCAACGAUCAACUCGCUACAAAAACUGCUUUACUAGAGAUCGGCAGAGGCAACUGGAAUGUCGCAUGUAGGGGUAAAAUCCGUUGAUAUGCGAUGGAACACCAAAAGCGAAGGCAGGUUGCUGGGCCGUUUCUGACGCUGAGGAACGAAAGCGUGGGGAGCAAACAGG
rnacentral:rRNA from 1 species